GGGUAAGAGAAAAUUAAGGGCAGAUGGUGAAUGCCUCGGGACCGGAAGGCGAUGAAGGACGUGACGUGCCUGCGAAAAGCUGCGGGGAGGUGGUUAGUAACCUUUGAUCCGCAGAUUUCCGAAUGGGGAAACCCGAUUUUGCGAUAAGCAAAAUCACCCCCCACCACUACUGGUGAGGGGGGGCGAACCUGGGGAAGUGAAACAUCUCAGUACCCAGAGGAAAAGAGAAAAAAUUUUUAUUCCCUUAGUAGCGGCGAGCGAAAAGGGAAAAGCCCAAACCUUAUUUUUAGUAAGGGGUUGUAAGGAGAUAAUGUUCGGGGCCUAGCUCCGAAGGGAGAACAUUUAGGUAAAGCUUGGUUAGGAAAAUGACCCUGGAAAGGGCAACCAUAGAGGGUAAUAGUCCCGUAUCUGAAAACCGCUUUAUGCUCCUUGUUAUCUUUCUUAAGUACCUCGGAGAAAGAGACCUCUGAGGGAAGCAGGUAGGACUACCUACCAAGGCUAAAUACUAUCCGGUCACCAAUAGUGAACCAGUACCGUGAGGGAAAGGUGAAAAGUAGGGAGGUGAUCCCGGUGAAAUAGAACCUGAAACCAUUUUGCCCACAAAGAGUCAGAGCCCCCACACCUAUCGAGCAGUGCGCUUUGCGCAAAUAAGAUAAAAUCUCUGCUUAAUAGGUGUGGGGGUGAUGGCGUACUUUUUGCAGAACGGGCCAACGAGUUCUGGUACUUUCUUUGUCUAAAUCCUUCUGGGAUGAAGGCCUAGAGAAAUCAAGUGUUAAAAGCGCAUUUAGAAAGUGCUGGAGACCCGAAGCCGAGCGAGCUUGCCAUGGCCAGGGUGAAUCCGUCAGAAAUGAUGGAGGAGGCCCGAACCCGUGAGCCGUGCAAUACUCUGGGAUGAGCUGUGGUAAGAAGUGAAAAGCUAAUCGAGCUCGGUAAUAGCUGGUUCUCCCCGAAAUAGCUUUACGGCUAGCCUCUCGUUAAAUAAUAAUAUCUCGGAGGUAGAGCACUGGAUGGAAUUACGUGGGUUUUACCUAGUCUUUCCAACCAAACUCCGAAUGCCGAGAUAUUCAACGAGGGAGUCAGAACCUGGGCGCUAAGGUCCAGGCUCAAAAGGGAAAAAGCCCAGACCUUCAUCUAAGGUCCCUAAAUUUGAGCUAAGUGGUAAAGGAAGUGGAACUCCUUUGAUAGUUAGAAGGUGAGCUUAGAGGUAGCUAUCCUUUNNNNNNNNNNNNNNNNNNNNNNNNNNNNNNNNCUCUGCGCCGAAAAUUUAACGGGGCUUAAGCUCAAUACCGAAGAUAAGGAUGCGCCACUUUAGUGGUGCGUGGUAGGGGAGCAUCCGGCACUUUGUGAAGUCCCGAUGUAAAUCGGAAUGGAAGGUGCCGGAGUGAGAAUGUUGGCAUAAGUAACCACAAUCCGUCUGAAACCGACGGACACCGAAAACCUAAGGUUUCCUUGGCAAUGGCAAUCAACCAAGGGUUAGGCGGGCCUAAAACAAACCCGAAAGGGGUAGUUGAUGGACAGCCGGUUAAUAUUCCGGCCCCUCUUCACUUUUCUGAAAAGUGACGGAGUCUUGUAGUUUGAAGGAUUAUUGGAUUUCCGAGGGAGAAUUUUCUCCCGUUUCAAAUGAAAGGACUUCCUAGAAAAGCUUCUAAGGCUAAAAGUGAAGGGUCCGUACUAAAACCAACACAGGUAGGUUGGUGUAAAUGCACCAAGGUGAACGAGUGAAACCUCCUGAAGGAACUCGGCAAAAAAGCGGCCGUAACUUCGGAAUAUGGCCUUCCCGCCCUCUAUGCUCGUGACUGAGAUUGUCUAAUUUUAUUAUACUUUUUAACAUAAGUAAGAUAGAUAACUUUAGUGAUGGGCUUAGAGGGCGGGACGCAGCGAAAGUUUCCCUGGGAACUGUUUACCAAAAACACAGGUCUCUGCUCAACUCGUAAGAGGAUGUAUAGGGGCUGAAGCCUGACCAGUGCUGGAACGUCAAACUUGAGGGUUCCACUUUCUGGUGGAGCUCAUUGGGUGAAGCGCCAGUAAACGUCGGCGAUAACUAUAAUCGUCCAAAGGUAGCGUAAUCCCUUGCCAGGUAAUUUCUGGCCCGCAUGAAAGGCUUAAUCACUGGGGAACUGUCUCCAGGAGGUGCUCGGUGAAAAUGCAAUACCGGUGAAGAUGCCGGUUACCUACGGCUAGACGGAAAGACCCUGGCAGCUUUACUGUAGGGUAGUAUUGGAUUUUGGGAUUGGAUGCGUAGUGUAGCGGGGAGGCUUUGAUGCUCGUCUCUCGGGACGAGUGGAGCCGUCAAUGAAACACCCGUCUUUCAAUCUCUCAGUUCUAACCUCGCCUUUGAAGCGGGAAACAGUGCUACUUGGGCAGUUUAAGUGGGGCGCUUGCCUCCAAAAAAGUAACGGAGGCGUCUAUAAGGUCGGCUAGCUCCGGAUGGAAAUCGGAGUGAUCGGGCAAAGCCACAAGCCGGCUUUACUGCAAGGCGGAUAUGCCGCGCAGUUGGGAAACCAGAGCUUAGUGAACCGACCCUGGUUAGUAGAACCGGGGAAGAUCAUCAGACAAAAGUUACGCCAGGGAUAACAGGCUGGUAGGGCCCGCGAGUUCACAUCUACGGCCCUGUUCGGCACCUCGAUGUCGGCUCAUCACAUCCUGGGGGUGGAGAAGCUCCCAAGGGUUUGGCUGUUCGCCAAUUAAAGUGGUACGCGAGCUGGGUUCAAACCGUCAAAAAGAACCUUUAAAAUAUCGAGUAACACACGGCGGAAAUCGUGAGCAAUUGCGAUUGAAAAAACCGACUCAUAUCGGUAAAUUCCUAUUUUGACAUUUAACCUGUCGCAUGAUAGGAUAAUACCGAGGGAAGCGAGCACUCAAAGCGUUGAGUGCUUCGCCCCGUAGAGACUUUCUUGAUUAAAUCAAGAUAAUAGAGGAAUGUCCUUUAUUAUACGUCGGUCCCCAGAUUAUAUCCGGGUGAUGGUAUAGUCCAUACAUUUAGUAAUAAAUGAUUAAUGCGUGAGACAGGUUGGUCCCUAUCUACCGUAGGCGUUGAGUCUUGAGGGGAGUUGGCAGUAGUACGAGAGGAUCCUGCUGAACCAACCUCUGGUCUACCAGCUGUUCCGCCAGGAGCAUCGCUGGGUAGCUAAGUUGGGAAGGGAUAAGAGCUGAAAGCAUCUAAGCUCGAAGCCCACCCCAAGAUUAGGACUCAUAGACUGGUCAGAGAUUAUGACCUUGAUAGGACACAGGUGGAAGCUCAGUAAUGAGUUAAGCCGAGUGCUACUAAUAG
rnacentral:rRNA from 1 species